rnacentral:rRNA from 1 species
CCGAUCCCAUUCCGAACUCGGUAGUUAAGCCCCUCUUCGCCGAAAGUACUGCGGUGUAGUCCGUGGGAGGAUAGGGCGUUCUGCUCA